UGAGGAACAUGACCUUCGGCGGGGGAUAGCCGGCCCAACGGCCGGGUAAUACCGCGUACGACCACAUGGGGACAUCCCUGAGUGGUGAAAGCAGCAAUGCGCCGAUGGAGCGCCUCGCGGCCUAUCAGCUAGUUGGUGAGGUAACGGCUCACCAAGGCGACGACGGGUAGCUGGUCUGAGAGGAUGGCCAGCCACAUUGGGACUGAGACACGGCCCAGACCUNUACGGGAGG
rnacentral:rRNA from 1 species